UGAAAUCGUCUCCUCUGGUUUAACAUCUUCAUCUUCAUCAUCAUCAUCUUCUUUCAUUGGUUUCAUGUCACUUCAAACUUUUAUUUAUAGACAAUAAGAUAAGAGUAAUGAAUGUAAUUAAAAUAUUCCACAUUUGUAGAGUUUGUUUCAUUUCUAUAUUUAAACCAUCUGUAUGUAUUUACAUCUUAUAUUUAUUUAUCAUGAAACACGAACACACACACAGGAACACACACUGGUACCACUGAGGUUCAGACACUGGUGAACUCUGUUUCCAGACUCAACAGUUGUUCUUGUUCUUGUUCUGCAGCGCUUCAUUAAUGAAGUAAACUCAUACGGCUCCCUCUGCUGGACAACAAGCGCAAACGCGUGAGUUCCACAACAACCUCGGUCCACUUUUAGAAACUGGAAAAAAGAACGAGAUGUGGGAGUUCACGUUGGUGUUGAACCUUCACCUGAACUCACAAGGUCAGAAGGGAAAUGGGAGGAGCCAAACGUCAGAGGAAGAAUGAAAGAACACCAUCAGAGUCAGGUCGGACGUGGACCCUGAGAUCAAAGGUUCUGAGCAGAACUCCUUGACAGCAGUUCCUAUGGACGAGGCGGUCAGUGGCCUCAGGGAGGCGCUCUUCAAGGCCAUGACAGAGACCACCUCCUUGAAGGCCAGAAGAAGGGAGGAGCCCACAAACAGAAGGAAACAGGCCACCUCCAAACAGCACCUCCUCCGUCGGCCUGUAGAUGUCAGUGUCAAGAACAACCGACCACCAGCGUCUUUACUGUCAGAAUAGUUUCAGCUAAAAUGAAUGACUUCCUCUACGUGGUUUACUGUGUGGACAGAAUUAACCUGCAAGUCUAAGUGUGGACACUGGGGGCGCUGAAGCCCUGUAGGAGAAUGGACUAAACAGGGACGAAGUGUGACAGAAAUGAGAAGACAAGUGUCUGAAACAACUCACAAAAUAAAAGUCCGGUUUAUUGUCAAACAACAAACUCCGCACACAAAAGGCUGAUGAGAAAAAAGAAAACAAAAAGGAGAAAAUUGGCUCGUUCUUUUGGCCACACCCCCAAAAAACCAAUGCCAGUUUGUGUUUAUGGUACGGCUAAA